UGGGGGAAACCCUGCAUGCAGCGACGCCGCGUGAUUUAGAAGGCCUUCGGGUUGUAAAAAUCUUUUUUAUGGGAUGAAAAUGACAGUACCAUAAGAAUAAGGUCCGGCUAAAUACGUGCCAGCAGCCGCGGUAAUACGUAUGGACCGAGCGUUGUCCGGAAUCAUUGGGCGUAAAGGGUACGUAGGCGGCCCAGUAAGUUAGAAGUGAAAUAAUAUAGCUCAACUAUAUAAAGCUUUUAAAACUGCUAGGCUUGAGAGAUGGAAGGGAAAGUGGAAUUCCUAGUGUAGCGGUGAAAUGCGCAGAUAUUAGGAAGAAUACCGGUGGCGAAGGCGACUUUCUGGUCAUCAUCUGACGCUGAGGUACGAAAGCGUGGGUAGCAAACAGGAUUAGAUACCCUGGUAGUCCACGCUGUAAACGAUGAGUGUUAGGUUCUUGGAAUAAUCUGGGAGCCGCAGCUAACGCAUUAAACACUCCGCCUGGGGAGUACGCACGCAAGUGUGAAACUCAAAGGAAUUGACGGGGACCCGCACAAGCAGCGGAGCAUGUGGUUUAAUUCGACGCAACGCGAAGAACCUUACCAAGUCUUGACAUAAUACGGAGGGAAUUAGAGAUAGUUUCUUAAGACUUCGGUCUACUGUAUUACAGGUGGUGCAUGGUUGUCGUCAGCUCGUGUCGUGAGAUGUUGGGUUAAGUCCCAUAACGAGCGCAACCCCUAUCGUUAGUUACCAUCAUUAAGUUGGGGACUCUAGCGAUACUGCCGGUGAUAAACCGGAGGAAGGUGGGGACGACGUCAAAUCAUCAUGCCCUUUAUGACUUGGGCUACACACGUGCUACAAUGGCAGGUACAGAGGGCAGCGAAAGAGCGAUCUGAAGCGAAACUCAAAAAACCUGUCCCAGUU
rnacentral:rRNA from 1 species